rnacentral:rRNA from 1 species
GUGUCAGCAGCCGCGGUAAUACAGAGGGGGCAAGCGUUAUUCGGAAUUAUUGGGCGUAAAGGGCGCGUAGGCGGUGUCUUAAGUGAGAUGUGUAAUCCCCGAGCUUAACUUGGGAACUGCAUCUCAGACUGGGGCGCUAGAGUACUGGAGAGGGUGGUAGAAUUCCACGUGUAGCGGUGAAAUGCGUAGAGAUGUGGAGGAAUACCAGUGGCGAAGGCGGCCACCUGGACAGUAACUGACGCUGAGGCGCGAAAGUGUGGGGAGCAAACAGGAUUAGAAACCCCAGUAGUCC